UACAGAGGUCUCAAGCGUUUGUUCGGAUUCAUUGGGCGUAAAGGGUGCGUAGGUGGCGCCGUAAGUCGGGUGUGAAAUUUCGGAGCUUAACUCCGAAACUGCAUUCGAUACUGCGGUGCUUGAGGACUGGAGAGGAGACUGGAAUUCAUGGUGUAGCAGUGAAAAUGCGUAGAGAUCAUGAGGAAGACCAGUGGCGAAGGGCGGGUCUCUGGACAGUAACUGACGCUGGAGGAAGCGAAAGGCGUGGGGAGCGAACAGG
rnacentral:rRNA from 1 species